AUAACAUGAUGAUCCUUUAAUCGUGAAUACUGUGAGCAAAAAACGUAAACUGAUUUAAUGAGUCUGAUUA
rnacentral:snoRNA from 1 species